GCGUGCGUGGUGAAGUGGUUAACACAGUAGAUUGUGGCUCUACCAUGCGCAGGUUCGAUUCCUGUCGCACGCCCCA
rnacentral:tRNA from 1 species